CAUCAGUGGGCCUCUCCUUGAGAGGGCAUGACCCUGGUGGCCACUGAGUCCAGGGGACUUCCCUUCAAUCUAUCCUCAAAUGAACAAAUGAACUAUCAAAGGAGUAGGUCCAUUCUGAAGUGCCCUCCCAGGUCCCCUCCUCUUAUUCAAACCCAGAACCACCUUAAAAUUCGAAGUCCUCUGAGAGGGACCUCUUCUCAUUUUAUAGUAUCUUCACAUUUGCCUUACAUGCCAUUUGAAAUCUGUUGUCAUGAUGCUUAGAAAGAGUUCUAUUUUCUUAAGAUUCACACCUACCAUCAGGUACAGACCCACCAAGGAAAGGAGUCGAUCUUUUGUAUGCGUGAAGAGCCAGAGAAUGUCAUUCAUCCAAAUUCCAGGGUGACAGAGGGAGGAGGGCUGAUUUCAUUGAAGAUGAGGAGAGCUGAACCCCAUUUUGGGGAGACCAUGGUCAGGGAAAGGCCCUGAAUCAAGAUCUUGGUACAAGGCCAAGCGCAGUGGCACAUGCUUGUAAUCCCAACAGCAACCAGAGGUAGAGGCAGGAGGAUUGCAAAUUCAAAGCCAGCCUCAGCAAAAGAGAGGCGCUAAACAACUAACUCAGUGAGACCCUGUCUCUAAAUAAAAUACAAAAUAGGGCUGGGGAUGUGGCUUAGUGGUUGAGUGCCCCUGAGUUCAAUCUCCCGUACCAACAACAACAAAGAUCUUGGCACAUAACAAAUCAUCGUAGAACCCAUGGCUUAAAGCCAUCUUUGCUAUUAUCUCUCGUGGUUCUGUCCCUUGCCUGGAUUUAGCCCAACUGUUCCCAUUUGGGGUCUCUUAUGGCAUUGCAAUCAGAUGUUCACUGGGACCAGACAGAGAUAGCUGAACACUCCCCAUGUUUGGACGAUGUUCAAGAUGACUUCCCCACCCACACAGCUGGUGGCUGCCCAGGCACCUCUUUCUGCACACACUGUGGUCUCAGGUAAUCUCUGACAGCCAGUGUCUACAUCCCCGAGGGCCUCCACAACAAGUUACCACAAACUGGGCAUCUUCAAUAACAGAAACUCAUUCUCUCACAGUUCAGAAGAGCAGAAGUCUAAAAGCAAAAUGUCGGCACAAUUGGUUUCUUCCAGCAGCUCUAAAGUGACGUCUUCCUGUCUCUUCCCAGGUUCUGGGGGCUGCCUGCAAUCCUUGGUAAUCCUUGGCUUGUAGAUGCUUCACUCCGAGGUCAGCCUCCGACCUCACAUGGCCUUCUCUGUGUGUCUCUGUCCUCUCCUUUCAUAAGGAUGCUGGUCAUUAGAUAUAGGACCCAUUCCAAAUCCAGAUGGUUUUAUUUUUAUAGCCUAUUACAUCUCUGAAGACUGCAUUUCCAAGUAAGGUUAACUUCUGAAGUUUUAGGUGGACAUGGAUUUUGGAGGGACACUACAAAACCUAGG
rnacentral:lncRNA from 1 species